GUGGGGAAUAUUGCACAAUGGGCGAAAGCCUGAUGCAGCAACGCCGCGUGAAGGAAGAAGGCCCUUGGGUCGUAAACUUCUGUUCUAAGGGAAGAUAAUGACGGUACCUUAGGAGCAAGUCCCGGCUAACUACGUGCCAGCAGCCGCGGUAAUACGUAGGGGGCGAGCGUUAUCCGGAAUUAUUGGGCGUAAAGAGUACGUAGGUGGUUAUCUAAGCGAGGGGUUUAAGGCAAUAGCUCAACUAUUGUUUGCCCCGCGAACUGGGUGACUUGAGUGCUGGAGAGGAAAGCGGAAUUCCUAGUGUAGCGGUGAAAUGCGUAGAUAUUAGGAGGAACAUCAGUGGCGAAGGCGGCUUUCUGGACAGUAACUGACACUGAGGUACGAAAGUGUGGGGAGCAAACAGGAUUAGAAACCCGAGUAGUCC
rnacentral:rRNA from 1 species